UGGCUCUCGCAUCGAUGAAGAACGCAGCGAAAUGCGAUAAGUAAUGUGAAUUGCAGAAUUCAGUGAAUCAUCGAAUCUUUGAACGCACCUUGCACCCUUUGGUAUUCCGAGGGGUACACCCGUUUGAGUGUCAUUGUAAUAUCACUCCUAGACUUUGUUGUCGUGGAUGUGGACUUGGACUCUGUCGUGCCCCAGCGACUGGUCUUAAACAGAUGAGCGCACCCUGCCAUUGCAGCGCCUUCAGUGUGAUAAGCAUCUUCACUGGAACAAGUUACCCCUAGAGGGACACGCUUGUAUUGCAGGCUCUGUGCUGACAAACCGUUCGCAUGAACAACCUUUGACAAUUUGACCUCAAAUCGGGUGGGACUACCCGCUGA
rnacentral:misc_RNA from 1 species